CCCCUUUCAGGCGAGUGAGAGUACCUGACACCGAUUGCCUACAAACAGUGGGAGCCCGCAAGGGUGACCACGUACCUUUUGUAUAAUGGGUCAGCGACUUAGUGUGACGAGCAAGCUUAAACCGGUAGGUGUAGGCGCAGCGAAAGCGAGUCUGAAUAGGGCGUUCAGUUCGUCGCAUUAGACCCGAAACCGAGUGAUCUAGCCAUGAGCAGGCUGAAGGUAAGGUAACACUUACUGGAGGGCCGAACCCAUAACUGUUGCAAUAGUUCGGGAUGACUUGUGGCUAGGGGUGAAAGGCCAAUCAAACUCGGAAAUAGCUGGUUCUCCGCGAAAUCUAUUUAGGUAGAGCGUCGACCGAAUACCCUAGGGGGUAGAGCACUGGAUGGGCUAGGGGUCCUCACCGGAUUACCAAACCUAACCAAACUCCGAAUACCUGGGAGUACUAGUCGGCAGACACACGGCGGGUGCUAACGUCCGUCGUGAAAAGGGAAACAACCCUGACCUACAGCUAAGGUCCCCAAGUUAUGGCUAAGUGGGAAAGGAUGUGAGGAUCCCAAAACAACCAGGAUGUUGGCUUAGAAGCAGCCAUCAUUUAAAGAAAGCGUAACAGCUCACUGGUCUAAAUAAGGGUCUUUGCGCCGAAAAUGUAACGGGGCUAAAGCCAUACACCGAAGCUUAGGGUUCAUCCGCAAGGGUGAGCGGUAGCGGAGCGUUCUGUAGGCCGAUGAAGCCAUACCUGCGAGGGGUGGUGGAGGUAUCAGAAGUGCGAAUGCUGACAUGAGUAACGUAAGGGGAGUGAGAGACUCCCCCGCCGAAAGUCCAAGGGUUCCUGCUUAAAGCUAAUCUGAGCAGGGUUAGCCGGCCCCUAAGUCGAGGCAGAAAUGCGUAGACGAUGGGAACCACGUUAAUAUUCGUGGGCCUGUGGGUAGUGACGGAUCACGUGUGUUGUCAGAUCUUAUUGGAUUGAUCUGGCAGCGAAGUGGUUCCAGGAAAUAGCUCCCACUUAUAGACCGUACCCGAAACCGACACUGGUGGACUGGUAGAGUAUACCAAGGCGCUUGAGAGAACUAUGCUGAAGGAACUCGGCAAAUUGCACGCGUAACUUCGGAAGAAGCGUGACCCUUUUGCGGGCAACCGUAGGAGGGUGGCACAGACCAGGGGGUAGCGACUGUUUAUCAAAAACACAGGGCUCUGCGAAGUCGCAAGACGACGUAUAGGGUCUGACGCCUGCCCGGUGCUGGAAGGUUAAGAGGAGGGGUGCAAGCUCUGAAUCGAAGCCCCAGUAAACGGCGGCCGUAACUAUAACGGUCCUAAGGUAGCGAAAUUCCUUGUCGGGUAAGUUCCGACCUGCACGAAUGGCGUAACGACUUCCCCGCUGUCUCCAGCAUAGACUCAGUGAAAUUGAAUUCCCCGUGAAGAUGCGGGGUUCCUGCGGUUAGACGGAAAGACCCCGUGCACCUUUACUAUAGCUUUACAUUGGCAUUCGUAGUGGCAUGUGUAGGAUAGGUGGUAGGCUUUGAAGCCCGGGCGCCAGCUCGGGUGGAGCCAUCCUUGAAAUACCACCCUUAUCACUAUGGAUGUCUAACCGCGGCCCGUUAUCCGGGUCCGGGACAAUGUAUGGUGGGUAGUUUGACUGGGGCGGUCGCCUCCUAAAGAGUAACGGAGGCGCGCGAUGGUGGGCUCAGAACGGUCGGAAAUCGUUCGCUGAGUGCAAUGGCAUAAGCCUGCCUGACUGCGAGACUGACAAGUCGAGCAGAGACGAAAGUCGGUCAUAGUGAUCCGGUGGUCCCGCGUGGAAGGGCCAUCGCUCAACGAAUAAAAGGUACGCCGGGGAUAACAGGCUGAUGACCCCCAAGAGUCCAUAUCGACGGGGUUGUUUGGCACCUCGAUGUCGACUCAUCGCAUCCUGGGGCUGGAGCAGGUCCCAAGGGUAUGGCUGUUCGCCAUUUAAAGCGGUACGUGAGUUGGGUUCAGAACGUCGUGAGACAGUUCGGUCCCUAUCUGCCGUGGGUGUAGGAAUAUUGAAAGGAUCUGUCCCUAGUACGAGAGGACCGGGAUGGACGGAUCUCUGGUGGACCUGUUGUGGCGCCAGCCGCAUCGCAAAGUAGAAUAUGCCGUCCG
rnacentral:rRNA from 1 species